rnacentral:rRNA from 1 species
GAUGAACGCUAGCGGCAGGCCUAAUACAUGCAAGUCGAGGGGCAGCGCGGUAGCAAUACUGGCGGCGACCGGCGCACGGGUGCGUAACACGUAUGCAACCUACCUUCAACUGGAGGAUAGCCCGGGGAAACUCGGAUUAAUACUCCAUAACACAGGGAUCCCGCAUGGGAAUAUUGUUAAAGCUACGGCGGUUGAAGAUGGGCAUGCGUUCGAUUAGCUAGUUGGUGUAGGUAACGGCUCACCAAGGCUACGAUCGAUAGGGGGUCUGAGAGGAUGAUCCCCCACACUGGUACUGAGAUACGGACCAGACUCCUACGGGAGCAGCAGUAGGGAAUAUUGGUCAAUGGGCGCAAGCCUGAACCAGCCAUGCCGCGUGCAGGAAGAAGGCCCUCUGGGUUGUAAACUGCUUUUGAUAGGGAACAAAUGCCACUUGCGAGUGGAGCUGAGUGUACCUAUAGAAUAAGCACCGGCUAACUCCGUG